AUGCUCACCUCCAGUGGGCGGGCAGUGAGUGCCAGGCCGUGCCCGUCCCCAGGUGCCCUGGAAAUGGGAGAUGGGCAGCAAGGGAAGGCCCUGGGCUCUUUCCUGCCCCUCGGGCCUGGCUUGGCUGGUAGGGCUUGGCGGGUCAGCAUUUUCUGCAGACACCGAACGCAGCAAGCUCAACUCGAUAGCUCGUGCCCGGCCUGCCACAGGGAGACGCAGCCAGGGCGUGGGGCCGCCCUGCACCCUGCCUCGCGCUGGGCACCGCCAUGUUUUCCUCCUGCACCGUGCCAGUCCACCCUCCCUUCCUUGGAGACUCCUUCCCCCGUUUCUCAGCAGCAGCAAGGGGUGGACAACCCGGGGCACAGGGACCCCACAGCCGCCUGGACCCCAGAAGGGCUGGAUCCAGAGGACUGGCCAGCAGGAUCUCUCGGAAUGGGAGUCUUCUUUUCAGGGCUCCAACCUGGAUGUCUUGGAACUGACCUGUCCCGAGCUGGACAGCCAAGAUGCGAUGGUGGCCGUGCUGGGCUCUGCCUCAUGGUGGCCUCCAGGUUGGUGCUGGGGCCUUGGGGGACAGGGUUGCUUUUCAUGGCUUGGCUGAGGGGAUGGCAAAGCUGUUCUCCAUUCUGCCUCCUAUGCCCAGGGACGUGGCCGCAUGCCGGUCUCCAUCACUGGCCCAUCCUUCACCAUCUCGCCAAGACUCAGGGACCUACAGUGGCCACUCCCCCACCGGCUGGCCGGGAAAAGGCCCACAGUGCUGGGCACACACCAGGGCGGCCGGGGAUUGGUCACUGCCUGAAUGUCCCGGGACGGACGCCCGUGUGCCCUUGGGCAGCCUUCCCUGUGGACAGGCCCUCCAGGCUGGGAAACCCUGAGCCAGAGGGAUUAAGGAGAAAAGACAGAGUCGACUGUUCCCUUGGCCAUGCUGAUUUGUGCUCCAUUUAG
rnacentral:lncRNA from 13 species